rnacentral:rRNA from 1 species
UACGUAGGGGGCAAGCGUUGUCCGGAAUCAUUGGGCGUAAAGAGCGUGUAGGCGGUUCGGUAAGUCUGCUGUGAAAGUCCAGGGCUCAACCCUGGGAUGCCGGUGGAUACUGUCGGACUAGAGUACGGAAGAGGCGAGUGGAAUUCCUGGUGUAGCGGUGAAAUGCGCAGAUAUCAGGAGGAACACCAAUGGCGAAGGCAGCUCGCUGGGACGUGACUGACGCUGAGACGCGAAAGCGUGGGGAGCAAACAGG